UACCAGAUGUUAGCAGCUCAAUUUUCACUCUCAUUGAGCUGAGAGGAUGACACUCAAGUUGGGGAAGUUUUCUGGGUUUUUCUUCAUUCACACUCACAAUGCCAUGCCUUCCAACGGGAGGGGUGGCCACGCUUUUAUACAAAGGCUGCAGGGCAGCCAAAACACACACCAAGAACUAGUCUAAGAUGCUGUCCUCUAGGUCCUAAUUGUUGUCCUCUAGAUGCUGUCCUCUAGAUGCUAAAGCUAGUCUAAGAUGUCAAUGUGCUGCAGCUGCAGCAACCACCACGCAGCAAGGACCAUGCAAGGUCUGAGAUGCUGGUCAAAAGAAGAACUGAAACCUGUCCUAGGUGGAGACCCACAAAGACCGAGAUGACAUAGACUUAUUCCUUCAUGCAUCAUUGACUAUUUUCUCUCUUCUAUCAUCUGUAUUUGGGUGGCUAUUUUUUUCAUACAGAAUCACCUAGUCAAUUCAGGGUCCCUUUUAGCUUGCAUCAUAUUUCAUAUACAGAAUUUAGGGCCAGUUUUCAUAUAUGUGUUGGAUAAUCAUAUGGCACAAUUCUCAUGAAGUAUUUGAAGUGUUGUAUCAGAUCAUAUGUGCGAUGCUACUCUUUCUUGAAAUUGGAUGGGUAGCCCUGAUUUGUAGAAGUAGAAGAAGAUACUGCUGCUCCUGAAUUCCUUGCUCACCUUAUCAAAGCAGAACACUGUGCAAUCCAUGGCCAGAGAGUGACGAGCACUUGAAAAAUACCAGCUUGUGUUUCCACUAAGGGUUCAUACCUGCAAACUGAAAAUCUUGAAGAAUACCAGCUUGUGUUUCCACUGAGGGUUCAUACCAGCAGACAUAUGAAAUUUCUAAUUUUGCUCCAAUAUACUUGGUCCAAGUAAACAAGAGUGACUAUGACAAUGUGACAGGCGCACUGCCCUACCUCAAAGUAAAUAGGAAAGCAGACAGUUCUUGUUGAUCUUCAAAAGCCAUUCUGUUUCAUUCCACCAACCUGUAAUUUUGUGUAUCUUCUGCUGUAUUUCCUUUCGAAUAUGGAGGCCGUGAUUCAUUUCAAGAAAGCAUAAACAACUCUUCUUACCGACAGAGUGCACUGCUAGCUGUAGUUUUUGGUUGCAAAUUUUUGCUAACACUGGCACGUGGCACUUGAGCCAUAUCUUAGUAAGCUGGUGUGGAUCUAAGUAGUGUCCUGUAUUGAAUUUCAAGCUGAAGGUGGUUUC